CACCUUGGGGUGUAAAUAAAUAAAGCUCAGAUGAAUCCAUGGUAAAUGUUACAGUGUAGAGGGAUUAAGUUUUAUUAUUCACUUUGUGGUUCCAGUAACUAUUUGCUCCAGGAAAAACAUAAACAAUUCUGAAUAAUGAACACUGGGUUUCUGAUCAGCUAUAUCUUCUGAAAUUCAGUUUCUCUGAUGGUUCCAUGUGGCUUCUGAAGGGAGAAAAUUGUGAGCACACAAAGAACCACUCCGACCCGCAUCCUAGUGAACAGGCGAAGCCAGUGAGAGUGUAAAGGAGAAAACAGACCACUGCAGGUCCUGGAGAUGGGCCGGUCUUCCUCCUGUCCCCAGCAGCAUGUUAAAGGGCACAGUUCAAGGGUGAGGUUAAGGGUUCCAUCUCCCGGCUGUCUUCUUGGAAGCAGGAAAUCAAUCUCUCCUGUGAAGGUACACUCUGGGAGCUGAGGCCUGAAGGUGGAGAGCUGUAGGCCCGAACAUCAAAGUGAUUAAUCUGACCAAGUUAAUGCGAUGAUUUCACACUUAAGUCGGGUGUUGCAAGUCUCCCCAAAUGAAGAGCAUCCUACAGCGAGAAAUGCCCAGCAUAAAACUUCACAGACCACUUUGGACACAUUGAAACAGUGUUGGCUCCGGGGAUUCCUGGAGCCGAAAAAACUGGAAGAGGCUGGAGCCUCUGGAGAGAGCUCGGUGCUGGGACACCCUGACCUCAGAUGUCUGGUCUCCAGGACUGAGAGAGGACAGGCUUCUGUUGUUCAGAGCGUCCGUGUGGUCGUUUGUCACCGCUGCCCAGGAAGCCCAUGCAGCUGGUGGGCGGCUCCCUGCCCCGAUCUAAAGCCUCCAGCCCAUUAGGGACAGCCCCCUGCACCUAUGCCGUCUGCACGAAUCCGUGAGGUUCAUGCUGAGCGCUGGCGCUCCUGCUCGGCACAGGCAUUUUGGAGGGUGUGGGCAGACACCACCACGUGCCCAGCCCCCAGCCAGGUGCCAAGUCUCUAGUGCGCUCCGUGGGGGGACGGGUAAGGGCUCUGCCCUUGGUUGCUGGGGGAAGAGACUCCCCAGACACCCUCGAGGGAGGAGGGGCAGGAAGGUGGUGAGUGGCCGGCUCAGGGCCCCGCCCACCCGGGCAGCCCCACUGCGCCUGAGGCGCGUCUCGGCAGUGAGCACCCAGCCUGUGCUGAGCCCAGGAGCCUCCCAGCAGGUCCCGAGGU
ensembl:lncRNA